CGGUUGAUCCUGCCGGACCCCACUGCUAUCGGGAUAGGACUAAAACAUGCUAGUCAAGCGCCUCCCAAUGGUGAGGCGCGGCGUACAGCUCGGUAACACGUGGCCAACCUGGCCUUGGGGGGGGAAUCCCCCCGGGAAACUGGGGGUAAUUCCCCAUAGGCGAAGACGUCUGGAAUGAGUCUUCGCCCAAAAGGUGUUUACGCUAUGCUCGUAAGCACCGCCCAAGGAUGGGGCCGCGUCCGAUCAGGUUGUUGGUGAGGUAAUGGCUCACCAAGCCUUUUACCGGUGCGGGCCGUGGGAGCGGGAGCCCGGAGAUGGGCACUGAGACAAGGGCCCAGGCCCUACGGGGCGCAGCAGUUGCGAAAACUUUGCAACACACGAAAGUGUGACAGGGCUAUCCCGAGUGCCGUCCGCUGAGGAAGGCUUUUACCCAGUGUAGAUAGCUGGAAGAAUAAGGAGAGGGCAAGACUGGUGUCAGCCGCCGCGGUAAUACCAGCUCUCCGAGUGGUGUGGAUGUUUAUUGGGCCUAAAGCAUCCGUAGCUGGCCGAGCAAGUCCCCCGUUAAAUCCAGCGAUUUAAUCGUUGGCGUGCGGGGGAUACUGCUCGGCUAGGGGGCGGGAGAGGCCGACGGUAUUUCCGGGGUAGGGGUGAGAUCCUAUAAUCCCGGGAAGACCACCAGUGGCGAAGGCUGUCGGCUAGCACGCGCCCGACGGUGAGGGAUGAAAGCUGGGGGAGCGAACCGGAUUAGAUACCCGGGUAGUCCCAGCUGUAAACGAUGCAGGCUAGGUGUUGGGGCGGCCACGUGCCGCUCUAGUGCCGCAGGGAAGUCGUUAAGCCUGCCGCCUGGGGAGUACGGCCGCAAGGCUGAAACUUAAAGGAAUUGGCGGGGGAGCAC
rnacentral:rRNA from 1 species